rnacentral:lncRNA from 1 species
GGAAACUGUAUAUUCAGUUGAUCUGAGAGAACAACUAGGGCAAUAUUAAUCAGAGGAACUUUGAGUAUGAUCCCUUCUUCUAUUUAAGUGCCCAGUGUGACUUCACAAUCUGUAGUUAAAGCCACAGUCACAGCAAGGGGACAUAAGGCUCUUGUUUUAUAAAGGAAAACACUUUAAAAAGGAAAUGAAUGGACAAUAAUACAUGUCCUUUGCUGGCUGGAAUGAUGGAUGGGCUCCAAGAAGAAAUAACCAAUGUCCACAAUAGGCUGGUGAUAAUAAUCAAGUGUGUUCAGCAUAAACUGACCAUGAUCAAAAGAAGUGUCCCAAAAAUCAGUCAUCGUAAACACAGC